rnacentral:tRNA from 2 species
CAGGAUAUAGCCCAGACAGUAAAGCGUCUCACUUACACCGGGAAGUCAUCCGUGCAAAUCGGAUUAUCCUGA